CACUGUUAUUCUAAAUGAAGGAUGUUUCCUGGUUUCCUAGAGGAAGAAGGCCUGAGCUGCCUGUGUAGCCCUCUAGGGCAAGUUUUUAGAGCUCCCAGGGCUCCACAUCUGGAGAACCCUAUCAGAAUUUCUGGAAAGAAAAGUAGACUGUGCUGUAAUACUUCUUGAGUAAUGAGCUCAUUUAAAACUUUUGCAGCUCUACCAGAAACUGAAGAGGUAAAUCAACAGCAAAGCACAGAUUUUAUUUCUCAAAUUUGGAGGCUGGAAGACCAAGACCAGGGGCCAACUUGUGAGAAAGUUCUUGUUGUGUCCUCCUGGGGAAGCAGGUGAAACAGGAACAAGGGCUGCUUUGAGAAGCCCCUUCCCAGGGAAGGAGAAUCCAUGGCCUGAGCAAUCUUCAAGUUCCCACCUGGUAUCACAUGGUAAUGCAGAGACAAAAUAGAAUGACAUCCCAUGCUCCCCAGAACAUCCCAACUUCUUGGCAUGACUCCAUUUCUGCAACCUUUCACAAGUCAUUAUUUUGGAUAAAACAAGAGUUAAGAUGAACACAUGGGGAGAGGGCUCCCUUCUCGGCUCCUGCUUGCAGUGUUGGAUGUGCCCUUACAAGGCAUCACUGAGGUUCUGCACAACAGCUCCAACUGCCCCCCUACCACAUUCCCAUGGGGCUGACUCACACUCAAGUCCUGAACACUCCCAAGCCCAUAAACCAGAAACAUCACAGGAAAUCCAAGGGAGAUUUGUUGAAAGUCUGCCAAAAACACCAAUCCACACAUGCUCAAGUCUCUUACAAAAAUGGCAGAGUAUUUGCAUCUAAACACUUCAUAUCUUCUUCCUUUAGCACUUCCAUUAUCUCUAGAUGACUUCUGACACCUAAUACAAUGAAAGGGCAGUGUCAUUCUCUAUAAUACUGUAAGAUCCAGGAAACAAUGAGGAGAGAAGUAUCUGUUCAGAGAGACACAACUCCUUUCCUGAUAGGUUUUGGAUUUCCAGCUGGUGGGGACCAUGGAUGCAGAAGAAUGGGUGCAGGGCCAACUGCAAUUUCUUGCUUUGCAUUGAUGGGAGGAAAUACUGCAGCCAAGAUGAGGGCUUCUAGGAGCUGAUAUCCUUCAAGUCAACAUCUGGACACGUCUGACCUUCAGGUCGGAAGACUUUCUUGCAGGGGAUCCAAGGACUUGCCUACUCUGUGUGGAACUUUUCAGGAAAAAGGGGAUCAAAUCUCAUGAAGCAACUCUUCUCUCUUCUAGCCCAUGGGCAAUGCAAGGAACCUGCAUAAUACCAGAGGCUCACUUCUCUCUUCUCAUGUCUUCUGGAAAUGAAUCAUUAAUGCUUCCUUCAAAGUGAAGCAGAAGCCUGCAUUCCCAACUGCACAGAAAUGUUUGAGGGCACUGUCUCCCAAAUGCAAAGGUCCAUGAAGAAUUACAGUCUCGAUACAUGAAUUCAUCAUCAAAAGCCUUGAGUCAACAGGGGCUUCACAAAAUGGCUUCUUGGCAAACUUGAUGACCUCCUCCUCAGACAAUGUUUCCACAUUGACUGGUCUUUCUUUUAAACCGGCCUCCUGCUCCCCAGGUCACAGUUGGCUCCUCUGUUGCUCUCCCACUCUCCAAGGGGCCUGCGCGUCAGGCCAUCUCUUUGCCUCUGACAUCGCGGCCCAGGCCACACUGCUGAGGCCACCGCAUCCUUCUCCACCGCCUGGACCCCGGGAGCCUGGACCCACCAGCCAGGACUGGCAGCCCCCUCCACUCUCUUUUAAUCUUCAGGAUGGAAGACAGUUAAAAGUGUCAUUCCAUUGCCUAUGAGCCCUCUUUGUUGAGUUAUUUCAUUUUAUUAUAACUCAGUUGUUCUACAAAACAAAGACAAUUCUUACAUUCCAUUUUAAUUAGAAAAGGGAAAUAGUCCUUUUUCACUCUCACAUAUUUAAAUGGUAUUGCAAAACUCUUCUUUUAGGUACCUUUCUUAGCUUGAAUGGGGGUGAAAUUCUUAAUUUUUCUCUCCAAUUAAAAAAUGCAUCUUCUUCACUUGGUUAAGGUCUUCCCUCUGUUUUUUUUCCCCCCUCUUCUCAUUCUCACUUUCUCCUUUGUAAGUUGCACAUAGAUAAUUGGAAAAGAACAAGAAGAUGACAAAGGUAGAAGUUGAGAUAGACAAAAACACACAGAGACAUACCAAGAGAGAUGUAGAGACGUACAGAGAGGGUUAUGAAGAUAGAACUUAGCAGUAAGAGAUACAUUGAUAGACACAAAACUAAUAUGUGAUGGUAAAUAGGCCACAUUCUGACUCUAUUGAUUUGGGUAUUAUGGGUAAUAUAGAUGCCUGUAUCACAUCUAAAGAAAACAAAUUAGAAAUACUUUCCUUUUGUUUUUCUUAAUAUUAUUUUGGUUGUAGAUGAACAUGAUACCUUCUUAAAUUUUAUUUAUCAAUUUUUAUGUGGUGAUAAGGAUUGAACUCAGUGCCUCACACAUGCUAGGCAAGCACUCUACGACUGAGCCAUAACCCCGGCCUUAAACAUUUUCCUUUUGACCUCUCCUUGAAGAGAUAUGUUGUCCAUUUGAUACCCAUUGUUAUUUGUUGUCUUAGAAGUGGUUAUUACAGAAUCAACAACUAGAAAGUUCUUCAUGAUUCUAGAAUAUAAAGCAAGGGUAAUAAUCUAGACCAUAUCUGUUUGGUUAUCAAUCUAUGGCCUCUCUGCUCCAAGUUCACCCUUCAGUGAACACACUGUAGGUUUUUCAGUAGAGGGCGCUAGAGGGGCAGGAAGAAAGAAAAGAACAACAGAUGGCUCUUACUUACAAUGGGGUUGUGUACCACUUAACCCAUUGUAAGUUGAAAAUAUUAUCAUAAGUUGAAAAUGCAUUUAAUACAUCACAGCUCAGCCUAGCCUACCUUCACACUCAGAACAUUAGCCUACAGUCAGGCAAAAUCAUCUAAUACAACUCCUGUUUUAUAAUACAGUGUUGACUAUGUCAUGUAAUUUAUUGAAUACAAUUUUGAAAGUGAAAAAUAA